rnacentral:misc_RNA from 1 species
CUUGGUUUAGAGGAAGUAAAAGUCGUAACAAGGUCUCCGUAGGUGAACCUGCGGAGGGAUCAUCAAAGGAAAUUUUUACUUGUACCUUUUUUUGCGGGGUACAUACAAACAAACGAUCGCAACUAUUGUCAAUGAGGGGGGUUUUUUGUUGGGAAGGGAGAAAAAAGUGCUUGCCUGAUAAAAAAACAUUGGGUUGGAAAAAAAGAAAUACAACUUUCAACAACGGAUCUCUUGGCUCUCA